CUCUAGCAUUUCCAGUAUUAGAGGCACUGCCUGCCCAGUGACAUCAGUUAAACGGCCGCGGUAUCCUGACCGUGCAAAGGUAGCAUAAUCAUUUGUUCCUUAAAUAGGGACUUGUAUGAAUGGCCACACGAGGGCUUUACUGUCUCUUACUUCCAAUCCGUGAAAUUGACCUUCCCGUGAAGAGGCGGGAAUAUGACAAUAAGACGAGAAGACCCUAUGGAGCUUUAAUUAACCGACCCAAAGAGAUCUUGAUAAUCAACCGACAGGGAUAACAUACCUCUACCAUGGGCCGACAAUUUAGGUUGGGGUGACCUCGGAGAAUAAAACAACCUCCGAGUGAUUUAAAUCUAGACUAACUAGUCGAAAGUACUACAUCACUUAUUGAUCCAAAAACUUGAUCAACGGAACAAGUUACCCUAGGGAUAACAGCGCAAU
rnacentral:rRNA from 1 species